rnacentral:lncRNA from 1 species
CCUCUUGCCUCGUUGGUCUCCAUGUUCCUGCCUAACAGAGAGACAGAGCCUGAGUAAUUGAAUCAUGAACGCAAGUGCCCACUGGGGACUGUGGGGAAGAUGGCACCUGGAAAUGCAAGGUGCGGCUCUAUCCCCAACUCUGUGUCACACUACCUGUGACGACCAGCUCAGAUCUCCUUUGCUUUGACUCUCAAGAGAGGACUGAUUUGCAGCAUCUAGCUGGAGGCAGGCCCAAGGGUGUUAGAAGGGAAACAGCUGGGACAGCCGGCUGUCCCUUCAGGCUGUGUGACCUUGGGAAAGUCAUUUGGCUUCUCUGUGCCUGUUUCUUCAUGCAUGCAGUGGGGAUUCCAGUAAGUACCAACUACCUCACAGGCAUGGCACGGAGGCAAAAGGAAAAAGCAGCCCGCAUCAAGCAAGCCCUCCUGGGCCACCUGCUGAUCUGACAGUCCAUCGUAGUAACAAGAGUGGCAGUCUGCACAACCUAGAAGUGGCCAGAAGGGUUGAGACACGCCCCUGCCCUCUCUCCUUUGCCCCUCAGUCUCACAGAGGGGCUUCUACAAGACAAGCAGAUAACGAUAGAAUCUUGGGCAUCUUGGCUUUCGGAUUCUCAGUGUGGAGGGACGUAGUACCCCACACACCCCUUCCUGUCAUCCUUCCUGGCCCAUAAAGCCCACUAGUUGGAGAGUAAGUACCCUCCUGGAAGCCGGGAGAGAUGAUUUGCUGGUGGGGCUGGGGAAGGCCCAUCCCUGAGCCUCUGAAAGUGAACUCCCCGACCAGGUUGGGGACCAGACAUGCAGAGCCCCUGGAAGUAUUCUCUCAAAUGGAGGCAACAGAGGUGAUUGUUAUUUUGUUUUAGUUUCUGUUUUUCAUUUUUUUAAAUAAAGGCAUUCCCUGCUUUUA